GUUUGAACCCAGGCCUGGGCAGUCGGCAUGCAGCCCACCCAGCUGUUCAUCCUUCCUCUUGGGCUAGCCGAUAAAUGGUUACCUGGGGAAACCUGAGGAAGGUAAACUGUGAUAACCCAGAGGUUGCACUGGCCCUGCGUCCUGGGGUGAUAGGUUCACACCCACCACAGCUUCAAGGGUCAGUGGUACGGAGAUGAUCACCGAGGCCACGUGCAGCUAUAGUGUACCUUCACCUGACAGGCAUCCCGGAGAAGAGUGGUCCUCCCGAGGCCAGCAGCGAGCACCGAGAGGUCCGCGCAAGCCAGUUCCCGGCCCCCAAAAACCUGGCGGAUCUGCUGGAGGUGCUAUCAGACACCAAAGACCCUGUGUUCCCCAUCUUCAAGGAGAAACCCCAACUGACCCCCAGCUCGACCCUGGCCCUUGGUGUGUUUGAUUUGGUCAAGAAGACGUUGGCUGUAUGGAUGAAGAACCCUCGGAAGGCUGGGCCCGUCAUGGAGAUUCCCCUACACUUCAACUGAACCACCUGAGCUCAGCCAUUCCUCUAAUAUAGACAGAAAAACACAGCUGACGACAAUUUGACAAACAACAAAACAUUAAUUUCCACAAGAAUGCACUACGUGACAGGGUUUGACUCAAAGCUGAAAAGUCUAUUUCAGAGACACUGGCUUUUCAUUUAUGGAU